UACAGAGGGUGCGAGCGUUAAUCGGAAUUACUGGGCGUAAAGGGGGCGUAGGUGGUUGUUUAAGUUAGGUGUGAAAGUCCUGGGCUCAACCUGGGGAUUGCGCCUGAUACUGGGGAGCUAGAGUACUGUAGAGGGAAGUGGAAUUUCCGGUGUAGCGGUGAAAUGCGUAGAUAUCGGAAGGAACAUCGGUGGCGAAGGCGAUUUUCUGGACAGAUACUGACACUGAGGCACGAAAGCGUGGGGAGCAAACAGG
rnacentral:rRNA from 1 species